rnacentral:rRNA from 1 species
AGUGAACGCUGGCGGUAGGCCUAACACAUGCAAGUCGAACGGCAGCACAGUAAGAGCUUGCUCUUACGGGUGGCGAGUGGCGGACGGGUGAGGAAUACAUCGGAAUCUACUUUUUCGUGGGGGAUAACGUAGGGAAACUUACGCUAAUACCGCAUACGACCUACGGGUGAAAGCAGGGGACCUUCGGACCUUGCGCGAUUGAAUGAGCCGAUGUCGGAUUAGCUAGUUGGCGGGGUAAAGGCCCACCAAGGCGACGAUCCGUAGCUGGUCUGAGAGGAUGAUCAGCCACACUGGAACUGAGACACGGUCCAGACUCCUACGGGAGGCAGCAGUGGGGAAUAUUGGACAAUGGGCGCAAGCCUGAUCCAGCCAUACCGCGUGGGUGAAGAAGGCCUUCGGGUUGUAAAGCCCUUUUGUUGGGAAAGAAAAGCAGCAGGUUAAUACCCCGCUGUUCUGACGGUACCCAAAGAAUAGGCACCGGCUAACUUCGUG